rnacentral:rRNA from 1 species
UACGUAGGGUGCGAGCGUUGUCCGGAAUUAUUGGGCGUAAAGGGCUCGUAGGCGGUUUGUCGCGUCGGGAGUGAAAUCCACUGGCUUAACUGGUGGCUUGCUUUCGAUACGGGCAGACUGGAGGUAUGCAGGGGAGAACGGAAUUCCUGGUGUAGCGGUGAAAUGCGCAGAUAUCAGGAGGAACACCGGUGGUGCAGACGGCUCUCUGGACCGCGACUGACGCUGAAACACGAAAGCGUGGGUAGCAAACAGG